AUGCCAUCUCCUGCUUUGGGUUAUCCCAUCACUGAGGGAGGCUGCAAGAGGCAGACAUGGCUGGCCACCCUGAAUCUGGGGAAGUCACUCAGAACCCUUGCUAUAGUCAAUGGCAGCAGAGCAAAAGUGAGCGAAGACCCUUGGAGAGCUGGCAAUGAGCUUACCAGCUGGGUCAAUAGGAACGAUUGUAUCGGGAAUUCAAGGGAAAAGAUGAGUGUGAAAUAAAACUCCCUUUUAAAGACACAUCAAAGAAAACAAGUAUGUCUCAAAAUGAAAUGGCAGACAUGUGUUUUCGAUGUAUUUCUCAUUAGAUUCUUAAUAAUAGGAUGUAAAUCAUCAAGUGGAGUCAGACGGACCAAUCCCGGGGCCCUGGUUCCCAGCAAUGAUGGCUGUUUCUGAUUAGCUUGGAGCCUACUCGCUCAGGAACAAUGAAUGCUUCUUGGGGUCUGUGAGGGACAGGAAAUUAAGCCAUCAGGCUUCUUGCCUAUUAUUUCCACACUCUCUUCAAGUUGGAGAUCCAUCAACUUUGAAAGAAAGACGUAUAAACUGGGCGAAGUGGGAGGAAGUUGGGUAUGCAGUUUUAUUCCACACCCCCUUCAGGAGUGUGUCCGCAGCACUGGUUAUUCACUCCAGAAUUAGAACAUCUGUCUUACACCAGAUGUUUUAUAGAUGGGUACCAAAGUGGGUGUUAGAAAGUUUGUAUCAAGACACCAAAGUUUUCCUUUAGCAAGAACUCCACUUUUUUAUAUAUGAAAAUAUCAGGAAACCAUUUUGCAGUUGAACAUCCAAACCAAAGGCAGUGGAGUUUAAUAUAAAUGUUAUGAAAAUUGCAUAAAACAUUAUAUCAAAACCUUUGGCAGUGUCGAAAAGCAAGAUUUCUGAAUCCAAUGAGUAGCCGAAGAAGAAAAUUCAAUUCCAUUUUUUCACUUUGUCUGCCAAUUUUUAUAGCACUUUAUUUAAAAUGGAAUCUCUAAAGAAUCAAUUCAAAUUAGCUUUACAGUUUUCCCCAAAGAAUCCGCUUUAAAAUAAAUUGAAUUGGAGCACGUGACAUAAUAAGUGAGCAUAAAAUUCAUGUUAACUAGUCUGAAGGAAAAACUUCUCAUAAUAAGGAAACAAAUAAUCUCACAUGACUGAGCUAAAAAUAGUCUUUGGAUUGUCAGUUUUAAAACUGAACAAAAAUAAGGGGAGUUGUUGGAUAAUGACAUGGCACAUUUCCCCCUAAUGAAAUGGCCUUGAAUUUUGUAAUAAAUUACAAAAAGAGAAUUCUUUGGGCAAAAGGAGAUACCAGACAUGAGUUACUUUCAUAAAUAUAGUGACAGUAAUGAAAUAUCUCCCAUGUGGGACUGGG
rnacentral:lncRNA from 1 species